rnacentral:rRNA from 1 species
CCUACGGGUGGCAGCAGUGGGGAAUAUUGGACAAUGGGGGGAACCCUGAUCCAGCCAUGCCGCGUGUGUGAAGAAGGCCCUCGGGUUGUAAAGCACUUUCAGUGAGGAAGAACGCCUGGUGGUUAAUACCCAUCAGGAAAGACAUCACUCACAGAAGAAGCACCGGCUAACUCCGUGCCAGCAGCCGCGGUAAUACGGAGGGUGCGAGCGUUAAUCGGAAUUACUGGGCGUAAAGCGCGCGUAGGUGGCUUGAUGAGCCGGUUGUGAAAGCCCCGGGCUCAACCUGGGAACGGCAUCCGGAACUGUCAAGCUAGAGUGCAGGAGAGGAAGGUAGAAUUCCCGGUGUAGCGGUGAAAUGCGUAGAGAUCGGGAGGAAUACCAGUGGCGAAGGCGGCCUUCUGGACUGACACUGACACUGAGGUGCGAAAGCGUGGGUAGCAAACAGGAUUAGAUACCCCGGUAGUC